CCGCCAUUCUCUUGAUUCACGCCUUCGCCGUAGCGGAUUUCGCCGUGCACCGAAGAGAAGGAAAAGUAGGCCAGAGCCGAACUCUCUUCCUGCCAAGAUGUCUAUUGGUGUGCCAAUUAAAGUGCUGCAUGAGGCUGAGGGCCACAUUGUGACAUGUGAGACGAACACCGGUGAGGUAUAUCGGGGGAAGCUCAUUGAAGCAGAGGACAACAUGAACUGCCAGAUGUCCAACAUCACAGUCACAUACAGAGAUGGCCGAGUGGCACAGCUGGAGCAGGUGUACAUCCGUGGCAGCAAAAUCCGCUUUCUGAUUUUGCCUGACAUGCUGAAGAAUGCACCUAUGUUAAAGAGCAUGAAAAAUAAAAACCCAGGUUCAGGGGCUGGCCGAGGAAAAGCUGCUAUUCUCAAGGCCCAAGUGGCUGCAAGAGGAAGAGGACGUGGAAUGGGACGUGGAAACAUCUUUCAAAAACGAAGAUAAUUUUCUCCAUUGAACAGACCUUUGCCCUUUUUUCUUUCAGGUUAUCUGAGUUCACUGGGGUGGGUGCUUGUGUAUAUGUCCUAGGUAUCUUUUGACAUCUUUCUCUUUAGAUCAGGGAAAAUGUUGAAGCUAAAUAAAUCUGGGGGGUUUUUUGUUCAAAAAAAAAAAAAAAAAA